rnacentral:misc_RNA from 1 species
AAGUCGUAACAAGGUUUCCGUAGGUGAACCUGCGGAAGGAUCAUUAACACUCUUUUUUCAAUGAAAGAGCUCAUUUUUUGAUAUCUUUGUUUUUUCUUUUGAGAAACUUGGAUUCAAAUAAUGGGUAUUCACCCCCUUAUAUUGACGAACGAAGAAAAAAAUGAUUUUGUUUCAAAAGCAAAACUCAUAUUUUUCUAUCUUUUUCUCUAUACCUUAUAUUUUUCAAAACCCCUUUUUUACAAUAUGUCUUAGACUGAAAUGAAAAAUUAAGAUAAAUUAAAAAACAACUCUUAACAACGGAUAUCUUGGUUCUC